GAUGAAGAACGUAGCGAAAUGCGAUAAGUAAUGUGAAUUGCAGAAUUCAGUGAAUCAUCGAAUCUUUGAACGCACCUUGCGCCCUUUGGCUAUUCCGAAGGGCAUGCCUGUUUGAGUAUCAUGAAAACCUCAACUCUCAUGGCUUGCCAUGAUGAGCUUGGACUCUGGGGGUCUUGCUGGCUUUACGGUCAGCUCCUCUCAAAUAAAUCAGCUUGCCGGUGUUUGGUGGGAUCACAGGUGUGAUAACUAUCUACGCUUGUGGUUUUCCGCCAGGUAACCUUCAGCAAUGGAGGUUCGCUGGAGCUCAUAAAUGUCUCUCCUCAGCGAGGACAGAUUUUUACCGUUUGAUCUCAAAUCAGGUAGGACUACCCGCUGAACUUAAGCAUAUCAAUAAGCGGAGGA
rnacentral:misc_RNA from 1 species